CAGCCGCCGCGGGAAUACAGAGGGUGCGAGCGUUAAUCGGAUUUACUGGGCGUAAAGCGUGCGUAGGCGGCUAAUUGAGUCGGAUGUGAAAUCCCCGAGCUUAACUUGGGAAUUGCAUUCGAUACUGGUUAGCUAGAGUGUGGGAGAGGAUGGUAGAAUUCCAGGUGUAGCGGUGAAAUGCGUAGAGAUCUGGAGGAAUACCGAUGGCGAAGGCAGCCAUCUGGCCUAACACUGACGCUGAGGUACGAAAGCAUGGGGAGCAAACAGGAUUAGAUACCCGAGUAGUCCCCGUCUCUUAUAC
rnacentral:rRNA from 1 species